rnacentral:rRNA from 1 species
GAGACAGGUUAGUUUUACCCUACUGAUGAGUGUUGUCGCCAUAGUAAUCCAGCUCAGUACGAGAGGAACCGCUGGUUCAGAUACUUGGUAUUUUCGCUCGGCUGAAAAGCCGUUGGUGAGAAGCUAUCAUCUGCCGGAUUAUGACUGAACGCCUCUAAGUCAGAAUCCCUGCUAGAACGCGACGAUUCUACCUCCCCCGAUGUGACUCGGUACCGAUAGGCGCAAGCCCAACACCAUAGCACAUCGCAAUUCGGCGUAUUGGGGGAGAUAAAUCCUUUGCAGACGACUUAAAUAUCGAACGGGGUAUUGUAAGUGGCAGAGUGGCCUUGCUGCUACGAUCCACUGAGA